AACGCACCUUGCACCCUUUGGUUUUCCAAAGGGUAUGCUCGUUUGAGUGUCAUUAUACUCUCACACUCUCUAAUUAUUAGAGAGCGGUGGAAUUGGGUGUUGCCUGGUACUUGCUGUCAGGCUCAUCUCAAAUGCGUUAGUGCGACUGCUAGUUGGACAUAGUACGGCGUGAUAAGUAAACCCUCGCUGUUUUCUGUCUGAUUAGGAGCUCUGUGCUUCAAACGGUCUUCGGACAAUCUCUGAUAACUUGACCUCAAAUCGAGUAGGACUACCCGCUGAACUUAA
rnacentral:misc_RNA from 2 species